UAAAAAAGUGGCUCUGUCUCUUGAGGAAGCAAAAGAAAAUGUCAAAAUUUGCUAAAACUGUCAGUUGAUGCUUUCUCAAACAUGAUUUCAUCACUGAUAUAUACAAUUAGCUUCACAUGAUGUGGGUGAUCCAGGAUGGUAUAAAAUCAGCACUGCAAAGCAAAUGGUAUUCAGACACCUCUUCAGACUGAACACAACAGGAACUGAAGUCAACAGUAAAAGUUCAUCCUAAGAUGGAGAGCAACAACCCCAACUCAUCUAACAUCCAAUCGUAUAAAUAUUGGUCGUUUUUCAGUCUCUUCUGCUGCUGUUUGCCACUCGGUGUAUUAGCAACAAUUUACUCAUUUCAGUCUGAAAAUGCAGGCAAUGCUGGAAAUUUUACUGAAGCACAGAAAUCAUCUAACAUCGCAAAGUAUUUGAAUAUAGCUGCUUUGGUGAUCGGUCUCAUUAUUAUCAUAACAAUCAUUGCCAUCAACGCUUCAGCACUAUCAAAAGCUCAUUAAUAACUAAAACAAAUGAAAGAAGAUCUAAAUGCAUUUAUGAUUAAUAUGGAAUGAGAUGAAGUGCUCACUCAUUUAUGUUGAAACAGAAUUGUGAAUAAAAAGAAAUUAUUCAAUCAUAUGAAGAAAGAAAUGUCAAAUAAAUUAAUUAUAAAAUGUAUGUCGCAGUCAGUGACAAUGAUUCACUGAACUUUCCGUAUGUUUCCUGUUAACAAGUACAAAUCAAUAAACUGAAACAAUCUAUUUGUAAUACAAGUAUUGUAUUCUUCUAUCACAAACACGGCAAUUCCAAAAUAAAAUGAAACCUUCAAUGUUA